GACGAACGCUGGCGGCGUGCUUAACACAUGCAAGUCGAACGCUGAAGCUCAGCUUUUGUUGGGUGGAUGAGUGGCGAACGGGUGAGUAACACGUGAGUAACCUGCCCCCUUCUUUGGGAUAACGCCCGGAAACGGGUGCUAAUACUGGAUAUUCACUGGUCUUCGCAUGGGGGUUGGUGGAAAGGGUUUUUCUGGUGGGGGAUGGGCUCGCGGCCUAUCAGCUUGUUGGUGGGGUGAUGGCCUACCAAGGCUUUGACGGGUAGCCGGCCUGAGAGGGUGACCGGUCACAUUGGGACUGAGAUACGGCCCAGACUCCUACGGGAGGCAGCAGUGGGGAAUAUUGCACAAUGGGCGCAAGCCUGAUGCAGCGACGCCGCGAGAGGGAUGGAGGCCUUCGGGUUGUGAACCUCUUUCGCUCAUGGUCAAGCCGCAACAAUGGUUGUGGUGAGGGUAGUGGGUAAAGAAGCGCCGGCUAACUACGUG
rnacentral:rRNA from 1 species